GACGUAGGGCGCGAGCGUUGUCCGGAUUUAUUGGGCGUAAAGAGCUCGUAGGCGGCUUGUCGCGUCGAAUGUGAAAACCCACGGCUCAACUGUGGGCUUGCAUUCGAUACGGGCAGGCUAGAGUUCGGUAGGGGAGACGUGGAAUUCCUGGUGUAGCGGUGAAAUGCGCAGAUAUCAGGAGGAACACCGAUGGCGAAGGCAGGUCUCUGGGCCGAUACUGACGCUGAGGAGCGAAAGCGUGGGGAGCGAACAGG
rnacentral:rRNA from 1 species